CCUUGUAAAUAAUUACCACUGAUUCUAUAUUAAUAGUAAUUCUAUAUUCAUACAACAUUUCUACUCUAUUUGUUUUGAAAUAAAUUGAUGCUAGCAAAUUGAAUUGAUUCUGUAGAAGGGCCAAACUACUUUCAUGAUUUUCCCACAGGAAUAUAUCAGUGAUUCAGCAGUAAAUAACUGUGAUAUCUCUUUGAAGACUGAUCAAAUGAUAAACAGGAGAGACUAUUUGAGAAAAGACUGUUUAUCAGAUAAAUAUUACUACAUUAGUUGUAAUUAAAUAUUAAUUGUAAUAUUAGAUAAUUAUUCUGAUGUAGAAGAAACAUAAUGUGACUUGCAAAAACAUUUCUGUAUGUAGCCUAAUACAACAGGCUAUUAUUUCUCUAAAUAGAAUUGCUGUGUUCAAAAUAUUGACAAAAUAACUGUUUCUUAUUGUUGAAGUGACAAACUUAUUGUUAAAGUGUUAAGCUGUGUUUACACCAAAGUUAUUAACAAAAUGUUUAUUUUUCCGUCCUUAUAGAUUCUAUUAGAUUGAACAUAACUUAUCAUACACAUGAUGAUCAUAUGUGUUUGUCAAGUUCCGUUUAAUCUAAUAGAAUCUAUGAGGACGGAAAAUAAACACUGUAACAAAAAAUAAAAAAUACAGUGACAUACCGUAUUGUGAUUCAUAACUCUUUAAAUUAGUUCAUGUUGGACUUGCAUCCUAAAUGCCCACUAAAUCUCAAUUUAUUAUCAUGAACUCACUGGCUAAAAAAAAUACCAGUGAUAAAUUAUAAUUCACUUGUUAAGUAAAUUACAAGUUAAAAUUGUCCCAAUUGUUAGUAUUCCAUCUUAAAUGCAAUAAGCUCAUCAUAGAGGUGAUGAUAAUAAUAGUAAUAUUUUCAAUUAUAAUAGAAUAAUAAUAAUAAUAAAUGGCGCCAAGUGAAGAAAUAUGCAAUAGCUGUAACAAAAUAAUAAUAUAUGGUCGACAAGAGUCUGUUCAAUGAGAAAAGUGUCCAUUGAGACAACAUGUUGCAUGUUUACUGAAGAAGAACCUAAUUUUUACAAAGACUCAGGCUCCAAAUGUCAAGCCUGUAUGAACAAGUCGCUCCCAAUAAACAAUACUCCAAUGCUGAUGACUCAAUACUGAACUAACCUUGCUCUCUGCACCAAAAGAGUUCUUGAAAUAUGUCAGGCACAACAGAAAUGAGUCAAAUAGCUGUCCCACCUCCAUAUCAAUGGAUGGGGCCAUCAUUUCAAACCCUUAUGAGAUCUGUAAAAUUUGCCUAAGCAUACUCAUUCAGUCACUUGGCGCCAUGUGGUGGAACGGGUUGGCUGUAAGGGGUGAUGGGAGGCCAACAAAUAAAAAAAUAAUAAUAAGAAUAAAAUGAAUGCUCACAAAAUCUUAAUUUAUUAUCUUGAACUCACUGUAACAAAAAAUAGAAAAAUACAGUGAAAUAUCAUGAGUCAUAACUCUUUAAAGUAGUUCAAGCUGGACUUGCAUCCUAAAUGCCCACUAAAUCUCAAUUUAUUAUCAUGAACUCACUGGAUAAAAAAAGCAGUGAUACAUUAUAAGUCAUUUUUGCUCCAUGAGUAACAGUUCAUUUUAAUUUUUUACUUGUUAUGAGGAAUUGUACACUGCCAUUAUUGUGGAGGAGUGGAUUGGAUGUGAUAUCAUGUAUAUAUAUAUAUAUAUAUAUAUAUAUAUAUCAAUAAAUAAGUAAAUAUCAGUUUUGGAUGUAAGAAUAUCUGAAGGCCAAGUAUUUUUGUAAUUCUAUGUUUGUAUGAUUUUAGCCCAUUAAGUAGAUGUAGCCUACAUUUAAAUGUGAAAAAAUUGAAAUAACUACUUGUUAUAAAGAAUUAUACAUAAUAUGUAUGUAUAAUAAAUAUAUAUUAUAAUGGCUACUUUUUCAUUAUUGUGGAGGAAUGGUUUGGCUGUAAGGGGAGAUGUGGAGGCCAAAUAUAUUUGUAAUUAUAUGUUUGUAUGAUUUUAGCCCAUCAAGUAGAUGAUUUAAAUGUGAAAAAAAUGAAAUAACUACUCGUUUUAAAGAAUUAUACAUAUAUAUAGUUGUUGUUACUUAGUUUGAAAAUGUAAAUGUUUUUUAAUUUCAGUCUUAGGGGAUAUUAUGUAGGGAAGAAUCGGCAAACAGCCUUUUUGGCCUUGUCACAUUGUAACAGACAAUGAUGGGAGAUUCUACAAAAGAAAAAGUAAGUCAUCAACAUUAUCUACUUGUACAAUACUCCGGAUAGUCCGCUAUUGCAUUUCUUGUUUUGUUUGUUCAUUUAUUUUUAUUCAUAUACAAAUGCAAUGAUAUAUUACAUAUUAUACAAAUUAUUCAUAUUAUAUGCAUAACAAUAAUUAUUAUUAUUGGCCUUAUGAAUUUUGAUCUAUUCAUUUAUAUCUAUCUCUUUAAUAAUUUAAAAUUACAACAUUAUUAAUGGACCAACAUGCUUUCUUGAGGUUCAAACUGUUCCAAUAUUUCAAUUCAUACAACAUUCCAGCACUAUAAAAUUCUAGCCAAACAGAAUAUUGUAUGAUAGGUAGUGAGUCUUAUCAUAGAGAAAUAUAGCAUAAGAAGAAGAUAGCCUAUGGUAUAGGUCGUUUAUGUUCUGUUUAUAUACUGUUGACUACUACCUAUUAUUACUUUUCUUACCGGGUGAGAGUGUAAGAACAGCACAUUAUGAGAGACUAGCACAUUAUAGAGCGUCACAUAGUUUCUAGAAAAUGUACUACUAAGUUUGAGUUAACAUAAAUGCCCUAUACCUUGAGAUAUAUUCUUAUUUGAUAUUUUGUCUAUGGUCUUCUGUAUGACCAUGACCAUUAAAUAAUUUCAAAAAAGUGUUUAAAAAAAUAGUUGGAAAUCAGCCAUUAGAUUCAAUUCAUUUCUUAUGUACUAGUUUUUUACAAUAAGCAGAAUAAGUUUAAUUUUUUCUUCAUGUUUGUUUUCAGUGUGCUCCAACGAUGUUUUCCGAAUAACAUUCUAUGUGCAGUGGUUGGGGGAUGGAAGGCACUCGUGGGUGGGCCUCUCUUAUUUGGUGCCCUUUGAGAGGGCACCAAACCCCCAGCACACUCCGUAUGACAUAUUGAAAAAUUACAUCCAAACUCACCGAAAAAACAAGGAAAAUUUAAAGGCCUGCAAAAUCCCAAGGAGGCUGGCGGCGGAAAUAGAUGCUAUAGUGGAGGAGGCUCUGGAGAGGCAGGAUAUAUUUGAGUGAAGGACAUUAGAAACAAUGUAAGGAAAAGUGAUUUGUAAGGAGUACUCUGGAGAGGAGGGUACAGUGUCUGUAGGGUGAGUGACAAAGAUCAAUUCAUUCCAUUUUCAUUGCUUAUUAAGAAUAAAAAUUCAAUCCAUAUUCAAAAUUAAUUCACUUCGCUCACUUAACAGUCACUAUAUAUAUAGCCUAUUAUCACAAAUUUAUCCACUAUUCAUUCAUUCAUUUCUAUGAUGAUGAUAAUGAUGAUGAUUUUAGGCCUACAAUAAUAAAUUAUUAUCAAUCGAGUAUCAUUAUCAAAUUUCAACUGAAUAUCAUAAUAUGUAGCUAUUAAUUCCAAUAAUAAAAUUGUUAUGCUAGUUCACCAAUUUCAAAUCUAUUAUUGUACAAAAAAGUUAUAUUACAAGAUUUGUGAUUACAUUUUCUUAAUUUCCAAAUUAAAUUUAGAAUUGAUUGAUUGAUCAUGCUUGAUGGACAGACAGGGAGACUGCAAACCUCACUCGAUCAUUGUUUAAAUAAUUAAUUUCCAGCUGAUAAUUUUUAUAAAUUCAUGAAUACAUUAUUAUUUUCUAUUUGUUCAUAAAAUAGAAUUACUUUUUAGCGAUUUCCAACUCUAUUUACAAAAAUAGAACAUAUCACUGAAAGGCAUAACAUGUCCUCGCCCAAUUUGAAUUGAUGGUGUAAUAACAGUAAUAAAUAAAUAAAUAGAAAGGAAUAAUUAUUAGACCCCAAAAUUUUCAAUACAUAGGCAUUUCUGAGAAUAAGGCUUCUUUGAUUAUUAGUUCUCAUGGAAUUUAAUCGGGAUUAAAAGCUAUCAGACUUUGUGCAACCGGGCGAUAAUAUAAUAAUUAUCUAUCUUCAACAUACAUAGUUCCCUAUACUUCACAAAGUAGAUAAUUAUAAUUAAGAAUAAUAAGUAUUUCAAUAUCAUUUCCUACCUCUAAUUCAAAUCAAUUUUAACAAAAUACUGAAAAUGCAUACUAACAGCAUAAUAAACACAUCUGUUUGUUGUUUGACAAUAAAUAAUACUUGACUGAAUAAAUAAAUACAUUCAAUUAAAAUCUAAAUUAAAAUUAAACUGAACAAAAAUUAAUAUCUGCCUAAAAGUUAAAGUAGAAUAUCGCUUACAAUGAUAAAAAUUAAUCAUCUUCAUGUAUGUUUCUGUAAAUUAGUCCAGAUAUGUAGCAUUGGCCAAUCCCAUAAAUCAAUAGAAUAAUGAAAGCACUCUACCUUCAGAUAAUUGCAGUUUCAAGUCUGCAAACUCCAAGACAGAUAAUUGCAAUGUUUCAAGUAGAAAAUUGAGGCUCUGGUUCAAUCUUGACUUCCACCUUGACCACUGACUGACUCUGACUUGGCCACGACUCGACCUUGACUUGACCUUAAUACCCUCUCAAUAUCAUUUUACCAUAUUAUCCUAAAACUGUUUAAAUUAUUCGACUAUUUGGGGAAAUUUUGUUUUUUCACAGUAAAUAAGUUUCAUAGCUUCAUAUUUGUCAAGAUUGUUCAAGAGCCCACAAUUUCUAUUUACUAUCUGAAAUUUGUCAUUUUCAACUGAAAUUUGUCAUUUUGAAUAGUUUAAUUUAUUAAUACAAAGUCCUCCAAAAAGAAAAACAGAUCUGUAGGGUUCAAUUAUUAGGAAUAUUUUCAGUCUUUUACAGUAAACAGUAAUCAUAUAACCAACCAUGCAUGAUUCAGGAACCAAAACUUCUUUCAUCCAAGAAUAGUUGAAUUACUAUUGAGCAUUUCCUGGACAGGUUUCCUUAUUUCAGCCUAGUUGACUGAUAAGUCUGAUAGGCCAAAAUAUAUUUUUCAAAAAAUCAGUUGAUCUUUUGAUGGCCAAAGCAGAGGAUAUUUCAUAAAUUUGAGGGAGGUUCAGAUGAAUGUCUGGUACAGUCAUUGUACCAGACAAAUACAUUGCUUUUAAACAGAUGGAACUGGAUUUUUUAUGGUAGAGUAACUUUUGUAUGUUGGGUGGAACAAAUCGGUUCAUUCUUGACUUGCUUUUGUUGUUCUCUGAGAGGAAUUUCUACAGUUUGAACGUUCAGAUGUUGCUGCAUUAUCAUGAAUAUGGAGGAUUGAAUGCUCCAAGGUUUUUGGAUGAUAGGGUUUUGGGGAAUUUUUUUUGUCAACCAGUUGUGGUAGAGGUAUCAUUGUGAUGAGAAACUGUUGAAUGUGAUGUAAGUAUCGGUUCCACACACUUUGUGAGUCUGAGGCCUGAAGGCGGCCUUGAGGCGCCCGAGGCCGCCUUGAGGCAGAGGCCACCUGUGUGGGCCAGUCAAGGUAUUUGCAUUUCAAAGUAAAUAUUUGUCCAAUCCCCACUGCAAGCUCAAAGACCCCCUGAAUACCCCAAAUUUAGUACAUCCACUCUGAAUACCCCGCUUUUAUACCACCCCCUGAAUACCUCAAAUA
rnacentral:lncRNA from 1 species